rnacentral:rRNA from 1 species
UACGUAGGGGGCGAGCGUUGUCCGGAUUCAUUGGGCGUAAAGAGCUCGUAGGCGGCUUGGCAAGUCGGAUGUGAAACCUCCAGGCUCAACCUGGAGCCGCAUUCGAUACUGCCAUGGCUAGAGUCCGGUAGGGGACCACGGAAUUCCUGGUGUAGCGGUGAAAUGCGCAGAUAUCAGGAGGAACACCAAUGGCGAAGGCAGCACUCUGGGACGGUACUGACGCUGAGACGCGAAAGCGUGGGGAGCAAACAGG